GACGAACGCUGGCGGCAGGCUUAACACAUGCAAGUCGAGCGCAUCCUUCGGGGUGAGUGGCAGACGGGUGAGUAACACGUGGGAACGUACCUCUUUGUUCGGAAUAGCUUUUGGAAACGAAAGGUAAUACCGGAUACGCCCUUUUGGGGAAAGAUUUAUCGCAGAGAGAUCGGCCCGCGUCUGAUUAGCUAGUUGGUGAGGUAAUGGCUCACCAAGGCGACGAUCAGUAGCUGGUCUGAGAGGAUGAUCAGCCACACUGGGACUGAGACACGGCCCAGACUCCUACGGGAGGCGGCAGUGGGGAAUAUUGGACAAUGGGCGCAAGCCUGAUCCAGCCAUGCCGCGUGAGUGAUGAAGGCCUUAGGGUUGUAAAGCUCUUUUGUCCGGGAAGAUAAUGACUGUACCGGAAGAAUAAGCCCCGGCUAACUUCGUGCCAGCAGCCGCCGCGG
rnacentral:rRNA from 1 species